rnacentral:rRNA from 1 species
GACGAACGCUGGCGGCGUGCUUAACACAUGCAGGUCGAGCGGUAAGGCCCUUUCGGGGGUACACGAGCGGCGAACGGGUGAGUAACACGUGGGUGACCUGCCCUUAGCUCUGGGAUAAGCCUGGGAAACUGGGUCUAAUACCGGAUAUGACUCCAUGACGCAUGUUGUGGGGUGGAAAGCCUUGUGCGGCUAGGGAUGGGCCCGCGGCCUAUCAGCUUGUUGGUGGGGUGANGGCCUACCAAGGCGACGACGGGUAGCCGGCCUGAGAGGGCGACCGGCCACACUGGGACUGAGACACGGCCCAGACUCCUACGGGAGGCAGCAGUGGGGAAUCUUGCGCAAUGGGCGAAAGCCUGACGCAGCGACGCCGCGUGGGGAUGACGGCCUGGU